rnacentral:rRNA from 1 species
UUAAUACCGGACAUGACCCUGGUCUGCAUGGACUGGGGUGGAAAGUUUUUCGGCCAGGGAGGGGCUCGCGGCCUAUCAGCUUGUUGGGGGGGUAACGGCCCACCAAGGCGACGACGGGUAGCCGGCCUGAGAGGGCGACCGGCCACACUGGGACUGAGACACGGCCCAGACUCCUACGGGAGGCAGCAGUGGGGAAUAUUGCGCAAUGGGGGAAACCCUGACGCAGCGACGCCGCGUGCGGGAUGAAGGCCUUCGGGUUGUAAACCGCUUUCACCAGGGACGAAGCGAGAGUGACGGUACCUGGGGAAGAAGCGCCGGCUAACUACG